rnacentral:rRNA from 1 species
AGACCCGAAACCCGGUGAUCUAGCCAUGGGCAGGUUGAAGGUUGGGUAACACUAACUGGAGGACCGAACCGACUAAUGUUGAAAAAUUAGCGGAUGACCUGUGGCUGGGGGUGAAAGGCCAAUCAAACCGGGAGAUAGCUGGUUCUCCCCGAAAGCUAUUUAGGUAGCGCCUCGUGAAUUCAUCUCCGGGGGUAGAGCACUGUUUCGGCUAGGGGGCCAUCCCGGCUUACCAACCCGAUGCAAACUGCGAAUACCGGAGAAUGUUAUCACGGGAGACACACGGCGGGUGCUAACGUCCGUCGUGAAGAGGGAAACAACCCAGACCGCCAGCUAAGGUCCCAAAGUCAUGGUUAAGUGGGAAACGAUGUGGGAAGGCCCAGACAGCCAGGAUGUUGGCUUAGAAGCAGCCAUCAUUUAAAGAAAGCGUAAUAGCUCACUGGUCGAGUCGGCCUGCGCGGAAGAUGUAACGGGGCUAAACCAUGCACCGAAGCUGCGGCAGCGACGCUUAUGCGUUGUUGGGUAGGGGAGCGUUCUGUAAGCCUGCGAAGGUGGCCUGUGAGGGUUGCUGGAGGUAUCAGAAGUGCGAAUGCUGACAUAAGUAACGAUAAAGCGGGUGAAAAGCCCGCUCGCCGGAAGACCAAGGGUUCCUGUCCAACGUUAAUCGGGGCAGGGUGAGUCGACCCCUAAGGCGAGGCCGAAAGGCGUAGUCGAUGGGAAACGGGUUAAUAUUCCCGUACUUGGUGUUACUGCGAAGGGGGGACGGAGAAGGCUAUGUUGGCCGGGCGACGGUUGUCCCGGUUUAAGCGUGUAGGUGUGUGUUCCAGGUAAAUCCGGUUCACUUUAACACUGAGGCGUGACGACGAGGCACUACGGUGCUGAAGCAACAAAUGCCCUGCUUCCAGGAAAAGCCUCUAAGCAUCAGGUAACAUCAAAUCGUACCCCAAACCGACACAGGUGGUCAGGUAGAGAAUACCAAGGCGCUUGAGAGAACUCGGGUGAAGGAACUAGGCAAAAUGGUGCCGUAACUUCGGGAGAAGGCACGCUGACACGUAGGUGAAGUGAUUUACUCAUGGAGCUGAAGUCAGUCGAAGAUACCAGCUGGCUGCAACUGUUUAUUAAAAACACAGCACUGUGCAAACACGAAAGUGGACGUAUACGGUGUGACGCCUGCCCGGUGCCGGAAGGUUAAUUGAUGGGGUCAGCGCAAGCGAAGCUCCUGAUCGAAGCCCCGGUAAACGGCGGCCGUAACUAUAACGGUCCUAAGGUAGCGAAAUUCCUUGUCGGGUAAGUUCCGACCUGCACGAAUGGCGUAAUGAUGGCCAGGCUGUCUCCACCCGAGACUCAGUGAAAUUGAACUCGCUGUGAAGAUGCAGUGUACCCGCGGCAAGACGGAAAGACCCCGUGAACCUUUACUAUAGCUUGACACUGAACAUUGAGCCUUGAUGUGUAGGAUAGGUGGGAGGCUUUGAAGUGUGGACGCCAGUCUGCAUGGAGCCGACCUUGAAAUACCACCCUUUAAUGUUUGAUGUUCUAACGUGGACCCGUUACCCGGGUUGCGGACAGUGUCUGGUGGGUAGUUUGACUGGGGCGGUCUCCUCCUAAAGAGUAACGGAGGAGCACGAAGGUUGGCUAAUCCUGGUCGGACAUCAGGAGGUUAGUGCAAUGGCAUAAGCCAGCUUGACUGCGAGCGUGACGGCGCGAGCAGGUGCGAAAGCAGGUCAUAGUGAUCCGGUGGUUCUGAAUGGAAGGGCCAUCGCUCAACGGAUAAAAGGUACUCCGGGGAUAACAGGCUGAUACCGCCCAAGAGUUCAUAUCGACGGCGGUGUUUGGCACCUCGAUGUCGGCUCAUCACAUCCUGGGGCUGAAGUAGGUCCCAAGGGUAUGGCUGUUCGCCAUUUAAAGUGGUACGCGAGCUGGGUUUAGAACGUCGUGAGACAGUUCGGUCCCUAUCUGCCGUGGGCGCUGGAGAACUGAGGGGGGCUGCUCCUAGUACGAGAGGACCGGAGUGGACGCAUCACUGGUGUUCGGGUUGUCAUGCCAAUGGCACUGCCCGGUAGCUAAAUGCGGAAGAGAUAAGUGCUGAAAGCAUCUAAGCACGAAACUUGCCCCGAGAUGAGUUCUCCCUGAGACUUAAAGUCUCCUG